UGCCCCCAGCGACGCCCCUGAGCUGCGCCUUCAGCGUCAGGGUGUCGCCCUGCGGCAAGCAUCUCGCCGCCCUGCACCUCUCGGGGGCCGUGUCCGUGUGGCACUUUCCCUCCCUCAGGAAGUCCAAGUACUGGCUGCUGAAGGACCAGCCUGACGCCGCAGCUCUGAAGUCUUCGGCGCCCUUCAAGCUGCCGACACAGGGCAGCAGAGGCAGGGAGCUGCGGCCUGAGUUGCCAGUGGGGGUGGAGUGGUGGUGUCGCCACG
rnacentral:lncRNA from 1 species